GUUCUACUCCAGGUUUUAUUGCGAUCAGAGGCGGCUGAAUUCAAGACAGAUAAAUGACGUGGCAUUGAAAGUAACAGGAGCACAUAAGCAAGGUACUCGAUGUUCAACUCUGCCGCCGACGACUUUAUGGAAGAACGGAAACCAAAACGACACGUUGGACUCGACGUUGUCGAAUAAAUUCUGGUGGUCGCACAAGAGAACAUGUAGUUCGAGUUCCAGCUCGACAACAGAGAGGAAGGAACUGGAUGCGAGGAAAAGGGAUAUCGAGCGGGGAAAUUACGCAGGUGUUGACGUUGCGAGUAACCGGCGAGUUGAACCGGUGGUUUUCUUUGAAGAAAGCGAGCCUAAAGAGUGGGUGGGUCAGGUUGAGCCGGUCGUGUUAACUUCAUUGGAGAAACAUAACUAAUCACGAAAUUCCGUCAACUUUUGAUUGAAUUUCCUCCUCGAUUUGAUUUUGCAUCUGUAAUUUUAACUCGAAUGGGAGCAAAUAUUUCAAAAAGUUGUCUUAUAGCUUAAUGAACAUAUUUGAUCGUAAA